rnacentral:rRNA from 1 species
GUUUGAUCAUGGCUCAGAUUGAACGCUGGCGGCAUGGCUAAAACAUGCAAGUCCGGGAUAACCCUUUCGGGGUGAAACCGGCGGAAGGGCGAGUAAUGCGAUCGAACGUACCCCGAGGUGGAGGAUAGCUGUGGGAAACUGCAGGUAAUACUCCAUGUGUUCCAAGGAAGAAAGCUUCGGCGCCUUGGGAGCGGCGAUCGUCCUAUCAGGUAGUUGGCGGGGUAAAAGCCCACCAAGCCGAAGACGGGUAGCGGGUGUGAGAGCACGGCCCGCCGCAUCGGGACUGAGACACUGCCCGGACUCCUACGGGAGGCUGCAGUAACGAAUAUUCCGCAAUGCGCGAAAGCGUGACGGAGCAAUGCCGCGUGCAGGAUGAAGCGGUUUCGCCGUGUAAACUGCUGUCAGGGACUAGAAAUACUGAUCAGUCCCAGAGGAAGAGACGGCUAGCCCUGUGCCAGCAGCCGCGGUAAUACAGGGGUCUCGAGCGUUAAUCGGAAUCACUGGGCUUAAAGGGUGCGCAGGCGGACCAGAGGGUGUAUCGUGAAAGCCCCCGGCUCAACCGGGGAACUGCGACGCAAACCGCUGGUCUUGAGGUGGGUAGGGGUCGCUGGAACGCUCGGUGGAGCGGUGAAAUGCGUAGAUAUCGAGCGGAACGCCGAAGGUGAAGACAAGCGACUGGGCCCAUCCUGACGCUCAUGCACGAAAGCGUGGGGAUCAAGCAGGAUUAGAUACCCUGGUAGUCCACGCUGUAAACGAUGCGCACUGGAUCGGUGCGGGUUUGACCCCGUGUCGGUCGGAGAGAAAUUGUUAAGUGCGCCGCCUGGGAAGUACGGUCGCAAGGCUAAAACUCAAAGGAAUUGACGG